GAUGAACGCUGGCGGCGUGCCUAAUACAUGCAAGUCGAGCGAACAGACGAGGAGCUUGUUCCUCUGACGUUAGCGGCGGACGGGUGAGUAACACGUGGAUAACCUACCUAUAAGACUGGGAUAACUUCGGGAAACCGGAGCUAAUACCGGAUAAUAUAUUGAACCGCAUGGUUCAAUAGUGAAAGACGGUUUUGCUGUCACUUAUAGAUGGAUCCGCGCCGCAUUAGCUAGUUGGUAAGGUAACGGCUUACCAAGGCAACGAUGCGUAGCCGACCUGAGAGGGUGAUCGGCCACACUGGAACUGAGACACGGUCCAGACUCCAACGGGAGGCAGCAGUAGGGAAUCUUCCGCAAUGGGCGAAAGCCUGACGGAGCAACGCCGCGUGAGUGAUGAAGGUCUUCGGAUCGUAAAACUCUGUUAUUAGGGAAGAACAAAUGUGUAAGUAACUAUGCACGUCUUGACGGUACCUAAUCAGAAAGCCACGGCUAACUACGUG
rnacentral:rRNA from 1 species